rnacentral:rRNA from 1 species
UACGUAGGUGGCAAGCGUUGUCCGGAAUUAUUGGGCGUAAAGGGAGCGCAGGCGGGAAGGUAAGUCGGUCUUAAAAGUGCGGGGCUCAACCCCGUGAUGGGAUCGAAACUAUCUUUCUUGAGUGCAGGAGAGGCAAGUGGAAUUCCCAGUGUAGCGGUGAAAUGCGUAGAUAUUGGGAAGAACACCGGUGGCGAAGGCGACUUGCUGGGCAGCAACUGACGCUGAGGCGCGAAAGCCAGGGGAGCAAACGGG